rnacentral:rRNA from 1 species
GACGAACCGAGCGAACGUUGUUCGGAAUCACUGGGCUUAAAGGGCGUGUAGGCGGCUUGCCAAGUCAGGGGUGAAAUACUUCAGCUCAACUGGAGAAGUGCCCUUGAUACUGGCGAGCUCGAGGGAGGUAGGGGCAUGUGGAACUUCUGGUGGAGCGGUGAAAUGCGCAGAUAUCAGGAGGAACACCGGUGGCGAAGGCGGGUCUCUGGGCCGAUACUGACGCUGAGGAGCGAAAGCGUGGGGAGCGAACAGG